ensembl:lncRNA
AAUGUGAAACUCACACAAGUUUGGAAUAAUAUGAGUAAAUGACCAUUUUCAAUUUUGCCUAAACUUAUAUCCUUUAAGAGGGUUUGCACCUGAAAUCUUGUUGUUUGUCUUUGUGACUGUGACCUCUUUCUCUGGUGACCUUACUCUAAUCCAGUGUACCUUCCUUCUCUCUCUCUCCUUCCUUCCACAAUCACCAUAUCGGCUCAUGACCUGUGACCUAAAGAAGAACACAGUACCAAUAAAAAAAAAAAUAAUAUGAGAACCCAACAGACAGAGACAAACAGAACUUGUGCUGGACUUGUGUUUGCGAGGCAUCACCUCAGCUCCACACAGUCCUAAAUCCUCUAUGCAUAGUGGCAGGUCAUUGAUAUCAAGGUGACACCAGCCUUCACGAACACUCUCGUGAUGUGAUGGGAGGGACAGACAGGAGAGAAGCUCAGGGCCACUUUCUUUAAGCUCCAUUAAGCUCAGUGGCAAAUCAUACCCUAAUACCUGUUGUCACGACGGAUUCACUGGAGUGAAAAUGCUUUUCCAGGCCACCGGGUGAGACACACACACAGCACCCUCGCUCACACGCUGUUAUUCACUUACUUAAAUUUAUAAGCAGGCGAUACUACGUGACAGGCGUGCAAUCUCCCUGAGUAACCACAACACCUCUUAUGCUUGAAGACGUGAUUCUGACAGCAGUGGCGUGUGCUGGACCUCUAAAAUGAGAGACUACAAGCACAGGAAUGUCAGCACCAGUUACUGUCUGACUUUAUUGAACUCUAAAGGUAUAGACACACACCAAAACUCCACACAGCUCACCUGCCAGAGCAUGAGAAGAGAUAUCCUCCAGAAAGGCAGGAAGGACAAAUGUAAUAAGAAAAGAGUCAGUCUGGCAAUGGCCUUCUCAAUGAGCUGUUAUCAUCAGAGGAACGCCUGGCCUCACCACUAACCUUUAAACAAUGCACAUCUCACAUGCUCUUUCCUCAGCGUUUCCUCAGUGUGAGCUCCCCGUUAACACCAGUCCUGCUCUUCACACACGCGCUAACCUUGCCUGUCUUUAUUCAAAAACUGAAAACAUCUGUCAAGGAACACCAUCAAGGCCCACUUAGUGGAGAUCCGCUUUCCGUGAGAAGUCAUUUUUCUCCAACACACACUCGCUAAUCUCAUUAUUACUGCAACUAUCAUCCUCCAACUUCGCCACUUUUUUAACUCUGCUCAACUCUUAACUCGAAGGAAAUCCCAGAGUGCUUUGCUGGGCCCGCCCCAAGCGGCAGAACUGGACUGGAAGAGCUUAGAGAGGCAGAGAGGAUUUCAAUACAUGCACACACACACUGUAUUCCCUGCAGCCGUUAAGCGGCGUCUCCCCACUUUGGGGAUAAUCUGCGGGAGAGAUACUAAAUCAGCUUCCCUUACACUGCCUCAGGACAGCAGAUCCUCUUGUGGUGUCUGUGCCUUAAACUGUGUUCAUAAAGCACAAUCAAGGGCUGGCGCUGGAAGUCAUGCGAGAUACGGGCAUUAGGAUCGCGGGCCAGUUCCCACAGUUCUUCAGUUCUUAAGGACGGUCAUGUGACGCUAAUACCAGUCAGUAGUCAUGCUUCCGAACUUAUGAAUAACUUAUGAGGAACUUUAAAUAGUUUUAGCAGCAUCAAUUCUCCACAUUUCUGCAGCACAAACCCUCACAUCUGCUGCAUCACAUUUGAUCACUUUUUACCAGUCAGUUUUGCUAAGCAAUUAUUGCUCUGCUGAGCUGUACAGUGAUGCAAAUGCUACAUAAAAGGUCAAAACAUCCUGUUCUGACAAACUCAUCACUUAUCAAGACCUUUAAAUGCACAAAAAUCUUUGCCAACAUCUGAUUUCACUGAAUUCAAAUAGUUCAAUUCAACCUUGUUGGCAAAGGCCCUUUUCGUUAGUUUCACUCACAACUGCGCAAAUAUUUUACUGUUAGUACAAAUAGCAUAUUCAUUUUAUAACACCUAGUAACUAUUACUUUUUACUCUGCGCAAGCCAGAUAUUAUUUGUUUAUAUAUAUAUAUAUAUAUUUAGAUACAAUUUACAUAUUAUAAAAAAUACUUAAAAAUAUAUAAAUAGAUAGUAUAAAUAACAGUAUAAAUAUAUGCUUCCAAAAUCUAUCACAUAAACUUUAAACAAUGUAACACCAAUCAUAUAUGUACAUGUAAACUGAUUGAAACCAGCUUUUUAAAAUAAAGGGAAACUCACCAUCUACUACUUCUUCCUA